GUCCAAGAAGGGGUCUGGUCAAACUGUGGGUGAGGCUUGGACGCCUGAGUGUGAGCAAAGCUUUGAGGCCUUGAGGGCAAAAUUGGUUUCUGCCCCCGUGUUGGCUUAUGCAGACUUUUCACGUCCCUUUAUUUUGGAGGUGGAUGCUAGUUACAGCGGUUUAGGGGCAGUCCUUUCCCAGGAACAGGAUGGUCGCCUUAGGCCGGUGGCCUAUGCCAGCCGUGGCCUUCGUCCUACAGAGCGCAACAUGACUAAUUAUAGCUCCAUGAAAUUAGAAUUUCUGGCUCUGAAGUGGGCCAUGACCGAAAAAUUUCGGGAGUAUUUGUUGGGUCAUCGCUGUGUUGUGUUUACGGAUAACAACCCCUUGAGUUAUCUUCAAACCGCAAAAUUGGGGGCUAUGGAGCACCGUUGGGCGGCUCAGCUCGCUGCUUUUAACUUUGAAAUUAAGUAUCGGUCAGGUCGGAGUAACCGGAAUGCUGAUGCUCUUUCGCGGCAGUAUGCUCCGGGGUCUAAUUGGACGGAGCAGAUCUUGCCAGGCACUGUCAUCCCGGCCUCUUUGCAGCAGGUAUCAGGUUUGGAUAGAGUGCCUGUCAUCCAGUCCUUAGUUUCAGUGUUCCCUGGCUCCUCUCCAUCAGACCUUUGCCAACUUCAAGGGGCAGAUCCUGUAUUGAGGGACCUCUGGCACUUCUGGAAGGAACAAAGGCAACCCACUCCAGAAGAGAGACGACAGCUUUCUCGGCCAGUGUUGGCCCUUUUGCGUCAGUGGGAUCGUCUGGUCGAACAAGAUGGGGUAUUGUUCCGCCGGGUGUUCCGUCCUGAGGGAGGUGAGGAGAAUUUGCAGCUUCUCCUGCCUGCAGCCCUCAAGGGGGAUAUUUUGACCUCCUUACACCAGGAGCAUGGCCACCAGGGUGUAGAGCGGACCUCGGAAUUGGUUAGGGAGCGCUGUUACUGGCCUGGAAUGGCUUCAGAUGUGAAGCAGUGGUGUCAAGAAUGUGAGCGCUGCCAAGUGGCUAAGGAUUCUGGGUCAGGACCACAUAGUUUUAUGGGGCAUUUGUUGGCUUCUAAACCCAAUGAAAUUGUGGCGAUAGAUUUUACCAUCUUAGAGCCGGCAGC
ensembl:lncRNA